AGCACCAACAACUGUAGCACCAACAACUGUAGCACCAACAACUGCAGCACCACCAUCAGCAGCACUACCCCUGCAUGCCUCCAGUCCUCCUCUCAGUAAACUACCUUUGCAAUUCUCCUUACUUGUGGACCCACCUGCUCCCUCAUGUCAGGAGGGACUCUACUUGCCAAAGUUUGUGCACCCAACACCUGAAAAUGGAGUCAGCAUCCAAGCAGAGGUCAACAAAGAAGUGGAGAUCAGAGUCAAAGCACAAGCUACAUACGCAACGUAAGUGAGAAUCAACGUGAUCAUUGUAGCCUUGUGGCGGCAGAACAUUCUCAUCAUUUCAGAUAAUAUCAGUAAUAAGGAGGAAAUCUGUUUUCUUUGUUUUGCUUUCAUAGGAUUCAUGAUAUCAUCAUCAGUGGGCCACUGAAUAUCACCAAGCACAGGACCACACAUGGGGAGUUUGUGAUUAGGUGGACGCCUGUCCAAAAUGACCUGGGAGAUCAUUACCCCAUCUGCUUUGCAGUUGAAUCAGUGACCGGGUGAGCCUUGAGGUUAAUGUCCUUUAUAAUACAAUAAGUAUGUGCGUGUGUGUGCGUGUGUGUGUAAAACCAUGAUUUCACUUUUUACAUAUUUCGCAGGUCCGCUGUAAGCACCCCUCAACCCAUACACUCUUACACUCAUUACCACCCCACUCCAUCUUCACAGUCUGGCAUCUAUCAGUCCGAGAUGAGGUGUGUUCUGGUGGGCAUCGGUCAUACCAUCGUUAAAUCCCAUGUGAUCUGCAGUGAGUCCACAAUGACAGUAGAGGUUACAAAAUCUACUUUCCCUGGACUCCAUGAGGAUCAUUUGCGACUCAAUGACCCCAGCAACACGGCCUGCAGCCUGCAGAGACACUCCAACAGCACUCACAUCAUCGCCGUCGUCCCCCUCAACGCUUGUGGCACUUUGAUCGAGGAAGAUGAUGAAAACCUCGUUUUUAAAAAUGAAAUCACCACGGUGGACAACGUACAUGACCUGAUCACCAGGAACCACCUGCUGGAGGUGCAGUUCUACUGCCAGUACCCCAAACAUGGAAACGUGACACUGGGCUUCACAGCACACAGGAGGAUGGUCACAGUGUGGGACAAAGGCUUCGGCACGUUCACCUACCAGUUUGAGUUCUUUCCGAACAAUCAAUUCCGCACCAUGAUUGAUCCAAAUACAUACCCUCUGGAGUAUGACGUGAGGGACAGGAUCUACAUGCAGAUAGAGGCCACGUCUACAGUCAACAACACCGAGCUGUUUGUGGAGUCCUGCAGCGCUGCACCUUAUGACACCCCAAACUACUGGCCAACCUACUCCAUCAUUGAAAAUGGGUAAGCAUGAGUACACCACCUAGUGG
rnacentral:lncRNA from 1 species